rnacentral:rRNA from 1 species
AUUGAACGCUGGCGGCAGGCCUAACACAUGCAAGUCGAACGAGUGGCGGACGGGUGAGUUAUGACUGGGAAAGUGCCUGAUGGAGGGGGAUAACUACUGGGAACGGUAGCUAAUAACGCAUACCAGCAGAUGUGCCCAGAUGGGAGUCGCUAGUUGGUGGGGUAACGGCGCACCAAGGCGACGAUCCCUAGAUGGUCUGAGAGGAUGACCAGCCACACUGGAACUGAGACACGGUCCAGACUCCGACGGGAGGCAGCAGUGGGGAAUAUUGGACAAUGGGCGCAAGCCUGAUGCAGCCAUGCCGCGUGUGUGAAGAAGGCCUUCGGGUUGUAAAGUACUUUCAGCGGGGAGGCGUUACCCGAAGAAGAAGCACCGGCUAACUUCGUGCCAGCAGCCGCGGUAAGAC